AGUGAACGCUGGCGGUAGGCCUAACACAUGCAAGUCGAACGGCAGCACAGUAAGAGCUUGCUCUUACGGGUGGCGAGUGGCGGACGGGUGAGGAAUACAUCGGAAUCUACUUUUUCGUGGGGGAUAACGUAGGGAAACUUACGCUAAUACCGCAUACGACCUACGGGUGAAAGCAGGGGAUCUUCGGACCUUGGGCGAUUGAAUGAGCCGAUGUCGGAUUAGCUAGUUGGCGGGGUAAAGGCCCACCAAGGCGACGAUCCGUAGCUGGUCUGAGAGGAUGAUCAGCCACACUGGAACUGAGACACGGUCCAGACUCCUACGGGAGGCAGCAGUGGGGAAUAUUGGACAAAGGGCGCAAGCCUGAUCCAGCCAUACUGCGUGGGUGAAGAAGGCCUUCGGAUUGUAAAGCCCUUUUGUUGGGGAAGAAAAGCAGCAGGUUAAUACCCCGCUGUUCUGACGGUACCCAAAGAAUAAGCACCGGCUAACUUCGUG
rnacentral:rRNA from 1 species